rnacentral:rRNA from 1 species
UGUAGUCAUAUGCUUGUCUCAAAGAUUAAGCCAUGCAUGUCUAAGUAUAAGCAAUUAUACCGCGAAACUGCGAAUGGCUCAUUAAAUCAGUUAUCGUUUAUUUGAUAGUACCUUACUACAUGGAUAACCGUGGUAAUUCUAGAGCUAAUACAUGCUAAAAAUCCCGACUUCGGAAGGGAUGUAUUUAUUAGAUUAAAAACCAAUGCCCUUCGGGGCUCUCUGGUGAUUCAUAAUAACUUCUCGGAUCGCACGGCCUUGCGCCGGCGAUGGUUCAUUCAAAUUUCUGCCCUAUCAACUUUCGACGGCUGGGUCUUGGCCAGCCGUGGUGACAACGGGUAACGGAGGGUUAGGGCUCGACCCCGGAGAAGGAGCCUGAGAAACGGCUACUACAUCCAAGGAAGGCAGCAGGCGCGCAAAUUACCCAAUCCCGACACGGGGAGGUAGUGACAAUAAAUACUGAUACAGGGCUCUUUCGGGUCUUGUAAUUGGAAUGAGUACAAUUUAAAUCCCUUAACGAGGAACAAUUGGAGGGCAAGUCUGGUAAUCG